rnacentral:tRNA from 1 species
CAGAGUAUAGCUAAAACAGUUAAAGCAUCUCCCUUACACCGAGAAAAUACCCGUGCAAAUCAGGUUACUCUGA